rnacentral:rRNA from 1 species
UACGAAGGGGGCUAGCGUUGCUCGGAAUCACUGGGCGUAAAGGGUGCGUAGGCGGGUCUUUAAGUCAGGGGUGAAAUCCUGGAGCUCAUCUCCAGAACUGCCUUUGAUACUGAGGAUCUUGAGUUCGGGAGAGGUGAGUGGAACUGCGAGUGUAGAGGUGAAAUUCGUAGAUAUUCGCAAGAACACCAGUGGCGAAGGCGGCUCACUGGCCCGAUACUGACGCUGAGGCACGAAAGCGUGGGGAGCAAACAGG